GACGAACGCUGGCGGCGUGCCUAAUAAAUGCAAGUAGGACGCAGUUGCGAACGGGUGAGUAACGCGUAGGUAACUACCUAUUAGAGGGGGAAAACUAUUGGAAACGAUAGCUAAUACCGCAUAAUAGUAGAUGGACCUGCGUUGUAUUAGCUAGUAGGUAGGGUAAUGGCCUACCUAGGGAACGUGACAUAGACGACCUGAGAGGGUGUACGGCACCACGUGGACUGAGACACGGCCCAGACUCCUACGUGAGGCAGCAUUAGUGAAUCGUCGGCAAUGGGGGGAACCCUGACCGAGCAACGCCGCGUGAGUGAAGAAGGUUUUCGGAUCGUACAGCUCUGUUGUUAAGGAAGCGGUACUUAACCAGAAAGGGACGGCUAACUACGUGCCAGCAGCCGCGGUAAUUC
rnacentral:rRNA from 1 species